AUGAUGCUGGCCUCAUAAAAUGAGCAUUCACUGGGAUGCAGACGUCAUUGCGAACAUUCCCAACACUAGACUUACUCUAACAUCUCCUAUUGAAUUGGGAGACAUUUCUAAAUUUGAAGAGCUAAAAUUGUAUUCUAACAGAAGAAUAAUUCCAAUGCCUUUGAGCUAUGACAUAUGCCACCCAGGAAUAUUAAACAAAUGGAAUGCAAGAUGAUUUCUCAGAUGGGUGGGAAGGAGGGAGAGAGAGAGACAGAGAAGAGAGAGAGAUUUGAGGAGAAAAGAAGUCCGGUAAGCUAAGAAACACUUAGGGUAAUGCAAUAACAUUGAAAACAAAUGACUGCCAGAAAGUAAGCUAUGUGUUUUGUAUACAUUACAACAAUGACAAGUGUAUGUAUUUCUCCUUUUAUGAGUAAAGAAACUGAAGCUCAGAAGGAUUGGAGUACUUUUAAACUAUCACAGUGAAAGAAGGUACAGCCUUAAGAUACAGUACUUUCAGUGUGUCCCAUACUGGGAACUGAGACCUUCCAGUUCUCUCUCCUGAGAAGAUAACCUGCCCACUGUUACUGAUGGCUUGGUCCCUGAGAGCUCCCAAAUUGGACAAGCUUCUUUUGCCCUAAAACGGCCUGUCAAAUAGGAGCUUCCUCCCCUAGUCUUUCCCUCCCAGCUCUCAACCCUACUUUGCCUUCUAUAUUUUCUUCCUAAUCCUUGUUUUUCCUUUUUUAUGUUUCUAAACUCUCUGAUGUGAAAGGUAUGCUUCCCAGCACAUUUCAUAAUGUUUUGUUUAAUAUUUGAUCCCCUGUCACUUCCAGAGUCCUGUUCCACCUUCCCUGUAUGUC
rnacentral:lncRNA from 1 species